rnacentral:lncRNA from 1 species
CCGCGCCGCAGCCGCCAGGUGCCCUGGGCCCCGCCAUCUUUGGGCACCUUCCGUACAGCUUCCGGGACCCGCUGGCGCGGCUGCGACCGUCUCCAGGCAGAGCGCUUAGGCCCUGGCCGGGAAUGGAGAGUGUCAGAGGCUCGAGCUCACACAAGGCAAGCACGGCUAUGGGCAGCUCUUCUCCACGGACGACACGCAGCCCAAACCUGGAAGGUCUGGCCGGCGCUUUCCCGAAGGCGCCGCUUCCGCCCCCCGGGGCCGUGGCGGCCGGCGGGAUCUUCAAAGGGCUUUAGGGCGCCUCAGUCACCGUUUCUGACGCGAUCGCUUCCGAGGCCGUGUGAGACCGUGUUGGCCCGGAGCUGGCGGUGCCGUUAGGGAGCGACCUGGGGGUCCCGCCGCAGGGGAGCGGCUCCGGGGACCUCCGGUCGUGGGUCUCCGACUUCCCCGGCUCAGAUGGGCCUCCUCGGUGGAUCCACCCGACUCGCCCGUUCACACUGCCUGCCUGUCUUGACGCUGGCUUCACCGGGACUCCACCUAGGAGAGGGCGAGGACUCUAGAAAACAGGGACGCGGGAGGUGGUUUAGGGGACACAGAAACGUGUAUUUUCAUUUGAUACCAACUGGGAAUUAUGUUUGCAGUCAGCAGCGGCACAGGCCUCUAGUCCACCUGUUAGGCUAGCCUCAGUGACCCAGUGAGACCUGGGCUCAAAAAAUUAACUAACUAAAAAGUACUGGGGGGCAUGUUGCUCAGCUGGUAAAGCAACCUGGGUUCAAUCCCCAGUACUAGGAAACAGGGAGGGAGAGAGAGACGUCUGGGGAGUCAGCUCGGUGUAGAGGGCUUGGGGAGCAUUCCUGAGGCCCCACCGAAGAAAGUGGGGAGAAGGCAAAGAUGGACCGAUUACAGCAAAGAACCAAGAUUUCAGUCAUGCAAAUAUUCCGACUUCUGGUUUGGAAAAGCCCACCAAGGGUAACCAAAUAUGGAUUAUACAGAUCAGAAAAAUAAGCAGGACACUUGUUUCAGAAAUCGCAUCGAAGAGGCAAGUCAGAGUAUCAAAUCGGCACGUUCAUUUGAGCUCAUCUGCGAUAUUUUUAAUAUCUGUGAUAUUCUACUUCUAAAAUGUACUCAUUCUACUUCUAAAAUGUACUCAUUUUCUUCCUGCUGUAGUAAUUUUCCCACAGUUCUGACCUCAUGUUUGGGGGACACUUAUUUUCAAUAUCCAACCUUUGUCUGUCUGUGGACGCAUUCUUUUAUGUUCCUCAAGAGGGAAAGAUGAACGCAGCAUCCUUUGGGAAGUGUGAAUGCGGUGGGGACCACGUGCAGGUCCCUAGGAGUAGCUGUGCAUCCGAACGGGAAAGGAACUGACCUCCACGAUCUACACGCUGAACCUAUACAGAUGCCCACAUCUAAACUAGUCCCAUUUCCAUGUCCUUAAAACACUGACCCCUCACCUUGCCAGUGACAGCAUCCACCCUUGGAGGGGGAAAGCCUUGGUGCUGAGCGGGGGGGAUCCUAUGGUCUCCUUGGUUGAUUCCUUCUAGCUGGCUCCUGGAGGAUUGUCAAAAACAAGACAAAACAAAAAAGCGCGUGUCUUUGGUAGUUACCUUACCAGGGUGCCAUUGGAAUGCUGUAGAUGGUAAGAAUGCCACCGCCAUCACGAGGGUGGACUUGGACCUUAAGUACCGAACCGAAUUUGGAGCACCAGGUAAACGUGGCCUCAGACAUAAGAUGACUAGCAUCCAAUGUGCGAGCCUCAACCCACCAUCUCCAGGAGCCCGGGCCUCCGGGGUCCCGCUGCAGGGGUGCACAGGCACUGCACGGAGACCUGGGGACGCCCCCCCACCGGUGUCACUGCCUCCCUCCAUGCCCGGAGCCUCGCGUGCAGCGGACCGAGCCUCGACCACCAGAGCCCCCGACCGCGGGUGUCUUGUUCCUUAACCUCCCCAGGACCCCUAUCCAGUGACCCUCAGGCCCAGCACCAACCCAGACUCCCCUGACGCGCCCUCGCCGCCACGUCCACGGCCCUCGGCUCCCAAAGCACAUCCGGGCCGACUGGACCCGCGUCCCUGUCGCUUCAGCGGCGACCCUGAAGGCCGCGCCGGUGUGCACAGGUCCCCACAGGGCUGCCUGCGCCCAGAGGCUAUGGGCAGGUGUCACUGAGAAGUGUCAGGACCUGGGGCCGCCCGACGCACACUUGGCGGUUAGGAGCGGGCGCUGUGCACGCAGUCAUCCGAGGACAUGACGAUUUUCCAUUCAGCAAACAGAGUCUUCUGGGAGAGAUUCCCGGCCUUUAGGGAAGGACUCAAGGGUACUCAGGAGGGCCUCCAGCUUGGAAGUGCUGCUGGAGGAGCAGCAAGGCUUGCACAAGGCGAGAUGGCUGACAGGAGUCACAGAGGCAGCGGUCAGAGUGGACCAAAGCUGCUGGCCUUUUGUGUGUCUGUCAGGGAAUGGAGAGAAUCAUAGGUCAAAUCUAGGGCAGUCCAGUGCCAGUGAAGACCAGUGCCCAAGCACAACCAAAGAGAGGGAUGAGGUUUCAGAUGUAAUUGGAUUAUUUCCCUAAAAACACAAAAAUUGUAAAUGGAGCACACGAAAGUAUUAAACAGCUAAUGUAGUUUUCCUUUGAGAAACAGCAUGCUUAGUAUCAGCUAUGGCCAGGGUGAAGCUGUAAAGGAUUUAAGUUGGCAUUGCCUUCUAAAGACACAAUCUGAAAUUGUCUUAUUAAAUUCUAUUUACCUGGGAUGCCAGCCUCUGAAGUGAAUUCACCGUCUGGUUCUCAAGGAGGCCUGGGCAGCCCAUUUGGGGACUCUGGCUGUCAGUUCAGGUAGUAACGCGCUGGACAGGCAGAUUCACAGCGGUGAGCAGAGCCGCUCACGUGUGGGCAGAGCAUCCAUUUCUGACUCUUUACUGUUGAGCCCCUGAACUGAAUGCAGUGACAGCCACUGCUUUGCACAUUUUGCUCACCAGCUUAACUGGCGUCUACAGUAGUGCCUGAUAUGUGCGCCCCCCAAACUAUGUGAAAAGGAUGGACCCAAGAACUCAGGGAUUCCACUGUGAGGCAACUUUACACCAAAAAGGACCCCCUGUUUCUAACCUGGAUAUUGUCUUUAUUGGAUCAAAAUUGAACUGAGCAUGGGAGAGAUGUCAAGGGCCCCCAUUCCCCAGAGACUGGCAAGGAACAAAAAUAAAUCACACUCAUUUAGCAUGUCACAUAGGAGCCAGCAUCUCUGAAAUCAUGGCAACUCUGAAGGCUGGGGCCUGUGGACCAAUGAAAGGGUGCUUCUUCAAGAUAUCCAAAGGGAUCUCUCUCCUUGACCCACCUCACACACUGCUGUCCUGUGUUUUGUGAUUUUGUUCCUCUAAUCCUUUAACUGGGCGCAUUCUGUGACUUGAGGAAAGGUGGUGCUAGGAUUGAACUCGGGGCCUUGUGCAUGCAAAACGUGCUCUAACACUGAGCUACACUCCCAGCCCCAUUGUGGAUUCUAUGGUCUGCUCCUUUUACAUUAUGCCAGAUGCAAGUCACUAUGAAGAUUUUUAUUUUUUAAGUUUGUGGGGAAAAUGAUGAUCCUUAGAAUUUCUCCAUUAGGCCCUUUCCUUCCACAACAUUUUGAUUAGUCCAUGAAGUCAUUCAUGCACCCUCAUCCAUCUCCCAAGUCUACAAUUAAUUUCUAUUUUGUUAUGUACUGGGGAACUUACAAUUAUCUACAAAGUAUAAAGGAAUCUAUGUAGACAUAAAGAUAUGAACAUUUUUAAAAAGUGUUCAUACCUUGCUUCAUGUGAGUACAACUAAAUCAAUCAUCUGUCCUCCACAACUCCGCCCCUUUUCAACCAGUGUUUACAACCGCUAGCCACACAUGCUGGAGGGUAAAACUGCUAUGUGCACAGGACCCACCUAAAAAGAAAUGCUCAUUUAAAACCAGCAAGCGCUGACAGACAUGGUGGCACUCAGCUGUAAUCCCAAUGACCCAAGGCUGAGGCAGGAGGAUUACAGAUUCAAGGCCAGCUUUGUGAAUUUAGCAAGAGCCCCUCUCAAAACAAAAAGGGAUAGGGAUGUGGCUCAGUAAUAGAGCACCCUGGAGUUUGAUCCCCAGUACAAACAAAAAAUUAGCCAGGGGUUUUGUUUCCUUCAUCACCGCCAUCACCUACUUUCUGCAACAGCACCAGCAAAAGCAAAAUAGUUAGCAUUUUUCUGUGUGGUGUGUUUAUCAAAAAUAACACAAACCACAGGGUUAGGAUAAUAACUGCAUCCUGGGUUCAGAGUGAGGCUGGCUAGUCAUGUGGUUUGAACUUCAUUCCCCCAGUGGUAUUUAAAUAAAUUGUUUCUUUUAUAACCAAAAAAGUGUAAAGCUAAUCAUAAUAAUCCUGGGUAGAAAAAGAAGACUUGCGCCAGUAAAAAGGGAGAGAAGUUGCAUUAUAACUUUAACACAAAUCACCUCCUUUUAAUGAAGGAGCCACUGACAGUUUGACUUAAGGUAUACUGUCCUAAAAUGCACUCUGUGUGUUAUCUCUUGUAAAAUAUUAGACUUCUGAUGCAAAUCUCUAUUCUUCAUCUUCACAGGUUUAUUUGCUUCAAGUAUUCUCUGAUAUUUUACUGAAGAUGUUUCAAGUGUUCACUUUUAUUUCUAUGUUUUCCUCUGGUAACAUGAUACAGAAUGGUACCAUGAGCAACCCUGCCACCUUCACUGCCUGCAAAGGUCUUCCAACCAUUUUUCUUUGCAUGACACCUACAGAGAUCUUUCUUUUGGGCAAGGACUUCUCCAUGGUCAUUAUAUUUCUACCAACUUUGAGCUCACUAAUCUGUGACCAUUGAUAAGGUUUAUCUUCCCAUAAAUGAUUUAUUCAGCAAGCAUUCAUACUAUUUUUUUUUCCCAGCAUACUGUCAGCUAUAUAAUGAGCUAUAUUUAUACUCAAGGGUUUUCUAUCUUCAAUGCAUCAUGAUUUACUCCUGUGUGACUUUUGUGACAUAAAACGUGAUGUAAUUGAUCACUGAAAGCACUAUCACAUUCAUUGCAUUCAUAAGAUUUCUCUUCUGUGCAAGGUCCAGUCUCUGCUGAGGGUGAAUGUCUGACAUCUGGCUGUCCCACAAUAGCUAUGCUCCUAUCUGCUUGGAACUCACUGUUGCCCAAUGAAGUUUGAGUUGCCAC